AACUCCGCAGCCACUUGUGCGCAUCACGUUUGCCUCGGUGUGAAUGGAAGCAGGAGCUGGCAGCUUGCAGGGAGCCAGAUGUGUCAGCCCUUGCAUAGACCUUGAUGACUCAAAAUAACCUUUAAUGAACAUCCCAGAGUGCUGGUUUGGCAGCUGGAUCAUCCAGAGCUCCAGAAAUGUUUCCUGCUGUCCCAGCAGUGCUGAUCUGCUUGCACUGGGAGAGCUCUCUGACUGGCAGAGCCCUUAGGUCUGGCCUGAACUGGAAUUAUGGCCACUGAUGAACUCUGAAAUUUCCCAAUUAAA